rnacentral:rRNA from 1 species
CACCGCCGCGGUAAUACGUAGGGUGCAAGCGUUAAUCGGAAUUACUGGGCGUAAAGCGUGCGCAGGCGGUUAUAUAAGACAGAUGUGAAAUCCCCGGGCUCAACCUGGGAACUGCAUUUGUGACUGUAUAGCUAGAGUACGGCAGAGGGGGAUGGAAUUCCGCGUGUAGCAGUGAAAUGCGUAGAUAUGCGGAGGAACACCGAUGGCGAAGGCAAUCCCCUGGGCCUGUACUGACGCUCAUGCACGAAAGCGUGGGGAGCAAACAGGAUUAGAUACCCCUGUAGUCCCUGUCUCUUAUACA